CGAGAUCUGAUGGUUUUAUAAAGGGUAGUUCCCCUGCACUCCUGUUAAGAAGGACAUGUUUGCUUCCCUUUCCACCAUAUUGAGAGAAGACUGUUCUCUGGUCAAGUUUGUGCUUCUGGGAACAUCUCAUCAAACGUCCUGCCAGCGGGCUUAGUACUGGAAUUUGAAUAUGGGCUUCUCUUUUCAUCAACCAGCUGUGUUGCUGUCAGCUUUUAUCUCGGGCUGGACACUUUGGAGUGUUUAACUGAAAGUGAUGAAAGGCACCAGGGGAGCCAGAAGAGCAGAAGAGGUGACAGCUGACCAGAAAGAGACUGGCUCUGCAGCCUGGGCAACCUGUCAUGGAAAGGUACUGCAGCUGCAGGCCUCAGAGCUGUCCAGAAUUACUCUCAUGAACAUGUUUGGGAAAGAAGUUAUGAAGUAGAGGCAAGAGUGUGUUACAGGAUCUCACUCUGUCAUCCAGGCUGAAGUGCAUGGGCGUGAUCUCGGCUCACUGCAGCCUCAGCCUCCUGGGCUCAAGCAACCCUCUCGCUUCAGCUCCUCCAGUAGCUGGGACUACAGGCUCCAGGCUCCUGCCACCACACUCGGCUAAUUUUUGUUUUUGUUGAGACGGGGUUUUGCCACGUUGCCCAGGCUAGUUUUGAACUUCUGAUUUGAAGUGAUCCUCCCACCUCAACCUCCCAAAGUGCUAGUAUUGCAGAUGUAAGCCACCAUGCCUGGACUCUCUUUUCUAAAUAGAAAAGAGAGAGAGAGAGAGAGAGAGAGAAGCGAAGGGAGUAAAAAAGGGAAAUGAAAACAUAAAGUAGAAUGAAGAAAGGACAAGAGGAUAUCCUGAUAUCCUGGGAGACCCCCAUGGUUUGAAGCAGGAGUGUACAAGAAAUAGAGCCAGAGAAGUGGGCAGAGAAGAGACAGUGGAGGCAGGGGCUGGUGUAGUGGAUUCCAUACGAAGGAAGGCCAGUUCUUUCAUUCUUGACACUGACAAUGAGGUACGUGCUUUGCUAGGCUCUGAAGAUGCAGAGGAAAUAAACAGAUGUCAAAAGAAACAGUAGAGAAAAGAGGAAAAGAAAGAACAUUCGAGAACAAAAUUUCAAUGACGCCCUCUACAAACAGUCAAGCACAGCUAAUUAAUGACAUCAGAAAGAACAUUAGUGUCUUCCUUGGUUUGGUAACUUGGAAGAGAGAAGUUAUCAGGGACACUGAAUCCUUCAGUCAAACUGUUCAUCCAACUGUGUGCUCAGCAGGUGUGUCUCAAGACGGACUCCAUGGACAGAUUACACAUUAGUGUCAGAAGUCGGGCGGGGGGAGCCAGAAAAGGUAUGGCUAAAAACAUCCAUCCUGGCUCUAAAGGAAGCUUAGAGUCAAUGCAGGAGCUCAGGGGAUGCAGAGGCAUUCUCCAAGUCCCCAUCAACUUUGCCAAAAAUGCUCAUGACACCAAGCCCACAGGGCCCUUCUGUCCCUAUGGAAGGGUUUUAACAAUCUACAAAGUUGGUGAUGUCACCUGUAGAGUGGUCACCUACAAAAAUGAGGGCACAUGGCUUAGUGAUGACAUGGGAGAUUGAGUGAAAUUUGCUCCAAUGAAGUACACAGGGCUUUGAAGAAUUUGCUUUACAAUUUGAAUCAUAAUCAUGUUUUUAAAAGUUUUUUUUGUAAUAUUUCAUGUAAAGGCAGAUUAGUAAUGAAAGGCACAUGUUUCUCUUGGUUCUUUUAUGUUGUCUUGUAAAUGUUGGGUCUUAGAAGUUGUAUUAUUUUUGUCUUUGCUCUGGAGGCCUGCUGUUUCCUUAAUUGAUGUGGUAGCAUUUGACUGGCUUUAUUCCCAUCGUCACAUAGUCAUUAUUUUCCAUAUCUCAGUUGUUGCUCCAUUUCAUUAACUUUAUUCAGAAAAUUGCUCCCUAUUUAUCUAUUUAUAGGUUUUGAAUGCAUGUAGUCUUUGUCCAAAACCAGUAUGAUUUCCUUUAUCUUUUUGCUUUUGAUCUUUAAUUUUUCUUUGUUCAGAAUCAAUCAUUUUUCCCCUCGAUACUCCCUUUGAUAUUCCCUUUUUCUACUGCUGCCACAGUAAUUGGAAUUUUCUUGAAUUUUUACUUUAUUUAAAAUCUUUUGCUUGUGGGUGGUCAAUUCGAGAGCCAGCCGUUCACAAGUCUGAAGCUCCUAAUCUAAUGCCCCAGGCUUUCAGCACCUCCAGUGCCAGUUCUAGCUCCUUCCUCCACCAAAGUCAAUAUCCUAAAAAGCUCUCUGAGCUCUUCCCUCUCACCAAGUAGCUUUUCUUUCCCUUUGUUGAGUUUUUCUGUUUUUGUGCGCCUAUGAUUCCCCCUUAACCAUAGAAUCAUCACAACUUAUAAUCCUGAUCCUUUUACUAUUACUAUCUGCUAAUACAUGUCAGUUCAUUCAUUUUAACUCAUUUUUCAUAUUUUUACAUAAACUCCUAGUGCCAUUAUUUACUAUAAAUUUAAACUUCUUAGGUCUUCUAUUUCUGAACUAUCAACAACUAUCAACCAGUAUAUAAAACUGGCCUUUUGUCAGCUCCAUGUACUCAUUAAUUUAAUGUAAUCGUUAUUGUCUAGAUCAUUAAAUCUGUUUUAGUUGAUUGGUUCUUUUGUAUCCUUUAUCCUCAGUCUUAAGCCGAGAGGAAACUGUGUUGUAGAAUUCAAUAUAUAUCCAUCUGUAGAAUGAAUGAAUGAAAACCAGUGUGUUUCGGCUCACGGGAGCACUGCCUAGUAUCUCACCAUCACCUUCUGUGUUGCUUUCUGCGAUGUACGUUUAGAUCCAGUCAGGCACGGUAAGGCUGUGAAUCUCCGGUUUCUCUGAUUUCAAGAUUUCACUAACUGUUUAUGAAACCUUUUAUCUAGUUAACUCAGCUGCUUGCUAUUAAGAUGCGUUAGCUUCUUGGCUCAGAAAUAAAGUCCCAGGGUAAGAAAAUAAAGAGGCCUGGUGUUCUCUGUUACUGAAGCCCUGCUUGGCUGUCCCUGGCUUAAGCUUCC
rnacentral:lncRNA from 1 species